CCUACGGGUGGCAGCAGUGAGGAAUAUUGGUCAAUGGAGGCAACUCUGAACCAGCCAAGUCGCGUGCAGGAUGACGGCUCUAUGGGUUGUAAACUGCUUUUAUGCGGGGAUAAACUGAGUCACGUGUGGAUUUUUGCAGGUACCGCAUGAAUAAGGACCGGCUAAUUCCGUGCCAGCAGCCGCGGUAAUACGGAGGAUCCGGGCGUUAUCCGGAUUUAUUGGGUUUAAAGGGUGCGCAGGUCGUCCUUUAAGCCAGUUGUGAAAUGCCGUGGCGCAACCGUAGCACUGCAGCGCAAACUGGAAGACUUGAGUGCGCCGGAGGUAGGCGGAAUGCGUGGUGUAGCGGUGAAAUGCAUAGAUAUCACGAAGAACUCCGAUUGCGAAGGCAGCCUAC
rnacentral:rRNA from 1 species